ensembl:lncRNA
AUGCACAAUUUAGCAAAUCCCAUUGUUUACUCCACAAUGAAACAGAAACCUGAAAAAUACUUUAGGGAAGAGGACUGCCAACAAAAGGAUAAGCAGAGGAGCCAGGAGGCUUCUGCUCUACGUGGGCAGAAGGAAUAUGUUUCAGGCCCAGGUGCUGGACACUGGAGCAGCAGCAACAAGAACAGCCCUCGAGCAAAGCAGCCAGGGAAGAGUUUCCAUCUAUUCCAGCUCAGCUCAGCAACCUGGGGGGAAAAUGAGGCCACCAAGAAGUCAAUUGAGGAUCUAUAAACCAAACAAGAGGAUAAGGUACUGAAUUCUGUGAGACAUUGACUGACAAACUUCAGUCUGAAGUAAGAGACAAAUGCCACAACGAACCUUUUGUAUCUUUAAUCAGUUCCCUCAUUAGCUAAAAUGGUACCUAAUCAUUAGCUGACUGUUUUUCACUUGUGAAAUCUGAAACAUCACAUGGGCAAUUUCUGAGAAGCAGUAGGCUUAGCCUGUUAAACCAAAAAAACUGGAGUUCAAUUACAUGUUCCUCGGCCCCGUUAAGGGCAUGGAUCCAAGCCAAGCUAUCAUCAGGUUGGUAAAAGAAGCCAUUAAGUGGUAGAAAGAAAAGAAUCAAUAUAUGAAAUAGAUUCGUAUCUAUCUAGGUUUCAGAAUAAUUUGAGGGCAAUAUAAUCUUGUAAGAACAGGAAAAAUGAAUACAUUUAAAGAAAAAAGUAGUAAUGAUUUCACAUCAAAGCAGCAAUAAGAAAUAUUUUGGGUGAGAAGAAUGAUAAACCAAAAUAACUUUCCUUCUCAAGGAAUCAUUUUCAAGAGCUUAAAAGUAAUAAAGAAAAAUUCAGCUCUUCUCAAUAGAUAACACAGUUGCAGGCAAGAAAGACCUGACUUUCAAUAAGCACUGAGAGGUGGUAUAAGAAUGCUAACAUGGAAACAGAGGCAAUCUGGAAGAAACUGGAUUUUAUUGUUGAUAUUUGAUUUGUCACUUUCUCCAUCCCUUUUAGGGCAUAAGCCUUCUUCAUAGAAGCUUUCAUUUUUAGGGUGACAAUAUCCUUUUGCCUAUAUUCCCUUUUAUACAUAUAUCCAUCAUUAAAAUGUCACUAUUACUCUUUUAUUGUUCAAAAAAGAGAAUACUCUUUAAAAGGCUCAAAAUACACAUUCAGGAGCUGAUCUGUGUUCAGACUGUGACUCUUCCAAGCUGACAUCUAGUCUUCCUUUUCAAGCCGUCAUUAGCAACAUUAGGAACUGUGCGACCAGAAGAAGAGUCCAAAUUCAUAAUGUGUCCCCUCUUAAAACUUCCUCAAGACUUGCUCCCUCCUUUACUCAGGGUCUUUUCAAACCUCUCUUCUGUCUUUUUAAUGGAUGGCAGAGGGGUGGAGUGUGAAUUUCACAGAAUUUGAAAAUAACAAAUGUAAACAAAACAGAGACUAGAUCUUUUACCUAGUCUAUGACUACUUCAACCAUAACACAGUUUAAUAUGUUUUAAACACAUAACACAAAUAUAUGUUUACAACAAAGUUCAUUUUCUACUAAGCACCAUUUGCAAUUCCUAUUGACCUAAAUCAUCCCACCUCACUGCUCAAAUCCCAGAGUGCUCUGGUUCAAGCUCUACUUCCAUCCACAGCUCUAAGAAUUCAGCCAUUCCAUAUGUCUGGUGUUCUCUCAUCUCUAAAAAAUGGCAGAACUAUGUACAGUAACAGGAAAAACAUUCUGAAAACCUCUCUCCCCUUGGUAGACAAUGUAACUGCUUUUGGAAGUGUUCAUUAAGAACUUAGCAUUUGGCUAUUUUAAAGCUGAUCGAUUUGCCUUUGCAAAAAGGGGUCUCAUGCAAUUUAGUUCCAAUUCUAUAUUUAGUUUUCCUCCAAAGGUAACAGACAAAGCAUUUUGUACUUCCAAGAGUUUAAAUGUAAACCAACAUAAUAAUCAAAAGGACAAUUCCUUUGGGGUUAACAUCAAUCUUCAAGUUAACCAAACAGUUAACACUUAAAACCCCAAAGUACAAUAAGCAGACCUUAGAAAAAAGCAUGCAUCUAUCUAAUUAUUUUUAAUAUAAUUUCUACUAAGCACAGCGAACCAAUUCAAGAUCUAUAAGAUGUUAAGGAAAGAGAGAUCAGUCUGUGGUAUUUAUGACUUUAGUCAUUCUUUCUCAAAACAACAGAUGAAAUAAAAUGUAUGACAUUCCCAAAGUGGGAGUUUCUACUGUAAUUCAUCUUAAAAUGCAAUGUUCUGUCAUCUCCAGUAACACUUACUGAAAGCAACCAUCAAUACUUUUUGUCAAAAACCUGCACUCUGUGUAAAAUGUUCCAUCAAUCUCUAUUUACAUAAAACAAAAAACUUUCAGUGUGGUUCUAAAGCAGAACCAUUCAGAUUCUGUCUGCCAUUUUCAUGCUCUGUUGAAAAAUUAUUUUGACUGACACCAAAAAAAAAAAAAAUCCUAACAAUUUACGGUAAGAUUUUUUUUUUUAAAUGUAAAGCAAAACCAAAUAGACUUGUUCUUUUCCAUUGAUCAGUUUAACAAAAUAAAGCAUUUUUGUUUACUUUGAACCAUAUCCAGUUUUCCUUCUAUGUAUAAACAGUCUAACUUAAUAAUUGGUGAACAAUUUUGCAAAGUAAGCCAUUUAAUAUAAUUCACUUCAUCACUAUUGUGUAUCCCAUAUGGUUCUCUAGGCAUAUAAAAAGCACUCAGUCACCACCCUGUAUUUUACUCACAUGGCCAAUACCAUAAAUUUCAAUUCGAACUAAAUCACAUGGAGAAGAAUAUAUAUGUAUUCAAUGCUUUUGGGUUUAGGGGCAUAGUUUCUAAUCUUCAUAUUGCAUUCACAGUGCUUCUAAGCUAUUAGGCACUAGCAGAUCAAUACUCAAACAGUUGUUGUUAAAGAGCAUGGAGGUAUACUAUAGCAGAAAUACAUAGCCACAAACCAGUCAUUCAUUUUUCAACUAACAAGUUCACAGUUCU